rnacentral:rRNA from 1 species
GUCUUCUUGUUUAUUAUUGGAAGUCUGGCCUGCCCGGUGAUAUUUUUUUUAACGGCCGCGGUAUUCUGACCGUGCAAAGGUAGCAUAAUCAUUAGUUUUUUAAUAGAGAACUGGUAUGAAGGGUUUGACGAGGAGUUGACUGUCUCUAUAUAAUUGUUUGAAUUUGACUUUUUGGUUAAAAGGCUUUAAAAUAUUGUUGGAAGACGAGAAGACCCUAUAGAGUUUUACAUUUAUUUUGUGUUAUUAUUUUGUUUUAUAUUUAAUUUUAUUUUAAUAUUUGUUUGGUUGGGGUGAUGAUUGAAUAUGAAUAACUUCUUUUGUUUGUUCAUUGAUUUAUGUUUUUUUGAUCCGUUUUUAGCGAUUGUUAGAUUAAGUUACCUUAGGGAUAACAGCGUAAUCCUUUUUUGGAGUUCUUAUUUACAAAAGGGCUUGCGACCUCGAUGUUGGAUUAAGAUUAUUAUUGGGUGCAGUUGCUCAAUAAAUAGGUCUGUUCGACCUUUAAAUUCUUACAUGAUCUGAGUUCAGACCGG